rnacentral:rRNA from 1 species
AACGAACGCUGGCGGCGUGCCUAACACAUGCAAGUCGAGCGCGAAUGGAGCAAUCCUAGUAGAGCGGCGCACGGGUGCGUAACACGUGGGUAAUCUGCCUCAAAGCCCGGGAUAACCUGCCGAAAGGCAAGCUAAUACCGGAUAAGCCUACGGACUCUUCGGGGUCUGAAGGAAAGGUGGCCUCUGUAUACAAGCUAUCACUUUGAGAUGAGCCCGCGGCCCAUCAGCUCGUUGGC